GGGUGGGCUGGUGGAUGUCGGAGACGACAUCAAGGCGCAGUACCACGUAGAACGUGACAGACUCCUCGCGGGAUUUCUCAACGGAGGUCUAAUUCCACCACCGUGCCGCCACUCACACGGACGGAUUUCAUUACUGCCUUAAAUUUUGGUAAGUUACUCCUAAGGCCGUUGGUUGAUCUCCAUUCUUGUAUAGGAUUAGGCUACUUAGGAAAUCGUGCGUCUGGUCGUCGAUGGGUUUGUCUCCGGCGAACCUGCCGCCGCUCUGCGAUGGUGCCGUAGCGUUCUGGCGAGCGCGGGCGUGGGAGACGAACGGCGACCGUUGAUCUGGCCUGGGCGGCUGUGAUUAAAACACCGAGAUACCCCUUCGGUUGGGAUGAUCCGAGCCCUCAAAUGCCGAUCCAACGGUUGAAUUCUACCCGUACCCCUUCGUCUUGGACGAUUUACUAAAGAGACCCUGCAUUUUUCACAAAUCAACCCGCCGUCCCCGCGGGAGUAGUCUGAGUCUGGUAGCUUUUGCGAAUUAAACCUCAAGCUUCUUAGUAAAUGACGCGCAGUCCAGAUAACAGAGAAAACUAGAUAAUUAAUAUUAUAAAUUGAUUGUUAGUAUAAAAAUAAAUCUUGAAACUCAUUUAAUGUAUAGAAAAUUCAUUUUAGCUCCUUUUAAAUCCAUUCCAGUUACAUUAAUUUUGUUUUAAUAUUCUUUAUCACCUAGUAACUCUAUUUAGACAGGAAACAUAGAUUUAAAAUUGGUUACUUAAUUUAUCCUGUGCCAAGUACUUAAUAACUUCGGAAAUUCAUAACUUAAUAACCGUAGCUCUGAAUUUAGUGGUUCUCGAACCCACGGUAUCGUUACGACGAGUAAAUUAUCAUUAUGCAGUUUGUUCUUAUGUUUGGUGUGAUGUUAAUUUUGCAUAUACCAUAUUUGUUUGUAUUGCUUCGACUAGCGUGAGGACACGUGUCACCUGAUGAGCAAGUUGGUACCUGGAAUCUCAAGUCCCAGGCAAGUUGUGCCCUUGAUCACUUCUUUUACCCACUCAUGUUCUAAUCAAUCAUAAUGAUCUGCAUAGGUUAAUUUUGAUGGGACCCAAUAGGUCACCCUAGUUUGUUUAUCCUGAAUACCUUGUUUACCCCUGAAUCACUUGGGUAGUUCUGCUACUGCUUUAUAUGGUUUUGGGUUAAUAUUUCAUUAUAUCUAUGUUCCAAUUAUGUUGUUAUUUUAUUUAUGUUCAUGACAAGAUCAUUAAAUGUUAAUUGGAACAUAGAGCUUAACUUGAGAAACACGUGCCACCACAAGGGUUUAUGGACGCCCUUGGCUGAUUAAUUAGGAAAGCUAGUGGAGGACUACCUUACCCGAAAGGGGCAAGGGCAGUAGGGGAGUGGUCAGUGUAGGGAGGCCCUCGGGAGGAUUUUGCUGCGAUGGCGGUCCUGCAAGGGAUUCCUGCAUUGGAGCUUCCUAUAAACUGUAGCGGGUUUUCUGAAGCUAGUGGAACUUUGUAAAGGCCUCGUAGUGUUACCCUGCCUCGCCUCCUCGGUAGAGGUGUAUGGGAAGUCGCGAUCCCUUGGCAGAUGGGUAACAUGACUUGUGGGUAAAGGGUACCACCUCUGCAGAGUGUAAAACUGGUAUACUAGCCGAGCUCACGGUCAUGAGCAGCUCAGGACUCUCUGAUGAUUAAUUUAUGGAACUAAAUUCAAUUUGUCAUAUGCAUUGCAUCGCAGGUGAUGUUGUUACUUUUGUUCUACUACUUAAUUGGGUUGGUAUUUACUUAUACUAAGUAAUUGCUAAUAAAAUUUUGACCAACUUUAAAAGCAAUGCUCAGCUCUAACCAUCCUCUUUGGUAAGCCUUACACUUCACGUGAGCUCCCACCUUUGGCGAGUUCAUGCACAUUAUUCCCCACAACUUGUUGAGCGAUGAACGUAUGUGAGCUCACUCUUGCUGUCUCACACCCCCCACACAGGUCAAGAAUAUGUACCGCAGGCUGAGGCGCUUGGAGGAUGCUGCGAUGUGUUCGUGAGAGGUCUAGGUCGUCGUCUCCCAGUCAACUUUGGGUUGCUGGAUCGUUUCCUCAUAUGAUGUAAUUAUUUAAUUAUUUUUGUACAUAACUCCGGU
rnacentral:lncRNA from 1 species